UUUUGCCCCUCACCUUCGGCGGAGUCCUUCUGGCCCCCAGCGACCCCGGGGCUACGGGGCGUGGAGUGCUGGACCUGCCAACACCCAGGGUGCAUAUGGAACUGGUGUGGCCAGCUGGCAAGGUUAUGAAAACUACAAUUACUACGGCGCCCAGAACACCAGUGUCACCACAAGCGCAACCUACAGCUACGGCCCAGCCUCGUGGGAGGCCGCCAAGGCCAAUGAUGGCGGCCUGGCGGCCGGGGCCCCUGCCAUGCACAUGGCCUCUUACGGCCCAGAGCCAUGCACCGACAAUUCCGACUCCCUCAUUGCCAAGAUAAACCAGCGUUUGGACAUGAUGUCCAAGGAAGGAGGCA
rnacentral:lncRNA from 1 species